UGCCUCGAUGGCGGAAUUGGUAGACGCGCUACAUUCAGGGUGUAGUGACCGUAAGGUCGUGCAAGUUCAAGUCUUGUUCGGGGUAU
rnacentral:tRNA from 1 species